rnacentral:rRNA from 1 species
UACGUAGGGCGCAAGCGUUGUCCGGAAUUAUUGGGCGUAAAGAGCUCGUAGGCGGCCUGUUGCGUCCGCUGUGAAAUCCCGGGGCUCAACCCCGGGCCUGCAGUGGAUACGGGCUGGCUAGAGGCAGGCAGGGGAGAACGGAAUUCCUGGUGUAGCGGUGAAAUGCGCAGAUAUCAGGAGGAACACCGGUGGCGAAGGCAGCUCGCUGGGACGGUACUGACGCUGAGGCGCGAAAGCGUGGGGAGCGAACAGG